GAUGAACGCUAGCGGCAGGCCUAAUACAUGCCAGUCGAACGGGAUCCAGAUCAAAGCUUGCUUUGGUCUGGUGAGAGUGGCGCACGGGUGCGUAACGCGUGAGCAACCUACCCUUGUCAGGGGGAUAGCCCGGCGAAAGUCGGAUUAAUACCGCAUGACAUCAUUGAGAGGCAUCUUUCGAUGAUCAAAGAUUUAUCGGACAAGGAUGGGCUCGCGUGACAUUAGCUAGUUGGUAAGGUAACGGCUUACCAAGGCUGCGAUGUCUAGGGGCUCUGAGAGGAGAAUACCCCACACUGGUACUGAGACACGGACCAGACUCCUACGGGAGGCAGCAGUAAGGAAUAUUGGUCAAUGGACGGAAGUCUGAACCAGCCAUGCCGCGUGCAGGAAGACGGCCCUAUGGGUUGUAAACUGCUUUUAUACGGGAACAAACGUCGGUACGUGUACCGGUCUGAGUGUACCGUAAGAAUAAGGAUCGGCUAACUCCGUG
rnacentral:rRNA from 1 species